rnacentral:rRNA from 1 species
AUUGAACGCUGGCGGCAGGCCUAAUACAUGCAAGUCGAACGAGUGGCGGACGGGUGAGUAACGUCUGGGAAACUGCUCGAUGGAGGGGGAUAAUUACUGGAAACGGUACUUAAUACCGCAUACCAUCGGAUUAGCCCAGAUGGGACUAGGUAGUAGGUGGGGUAACGGCUCACCUAGGCGACGAUCCCUAGCGGAUCUGAGAGGAUGACCAGCCACACUGGAACUGAGACACGGUCCAGACUCCUACGGGAGGCAGCAGUGGGGAAUAUUGCACAAUGGGCGAAAGCCUGAUGCAGCCAUGCCGCGUGUAUGAAGAAGGCCUUCGGGUUGUAAAGUACUUUCAGCGAGGAGGCGUUACUCGCAGAGGAAGCACCGGCUAACUCCGUGCCAGCAGCCGCGGUAAUAC